UACGUAGGGCGCAAGCGUUGUCCGGAAUUAUUGGGCGUAAAGAGCUCGUAGGCGGUCUGUUACGUCCGCUGUGAAAACCCUGGGCUUAACCCUGGGCUUGCAGUGGAUACGGGCAGACUAGAGGCAGGUAGGGGAGAAUGGAAUUCCCGGUGUAGCGGUGAAAUGCGCAGAUAUCGGGAGGAACACCGGUGGCGAAGGCGGUUCUCUGGGCCUGACCUGACGCUGAGGAGCGAAAGCGUGGGGAGCGAACAGG
rnacentral:rRNA from 1 species